rnacentral:tRNA from 1 species
GGGCCCGUCGUCUAGCCUGGUUAGGACGUCGCCCUCACACGGCGAAGGUCCGGGGUUCAAAUCCCCGCGGGCCCA